rnacentral:rRNA from 1 species
AUAUUUUUUCAAUAUUUAUUUAAUCUAUAUAUUUAAUAAAAAUAAUUAUUUAGUUUAAGUAAUUCUUAUAGAAACAAUUUAAUUUUAAUUACUGAAAAGGAUAAUUAAUUAAAUAUUUUAUAGUAAAAUAAUAUUUUGUACCUUUUGUAUCAGGAUUAAUUAAAAUAUUUUAAAUAUUUAAUCUUCUCGAAAUAUAGUGAUUUAAAAUAGUUUGUUAAUUAUUGUUUUAUAAAUAUUAAAAAAAUAGUUUUGGAAAUGAAAUUUUAUCGAACUAUAUUAUAUCUGGUUUAUUAGGAAAUAAAUUCAAUUUAAUAAAAAUGUUAUAAUUAUUAAUUAAAUGAUAAUUUAUAAAUUUUUUUAGUUAUAUUAAGGAUAAGCUUAAUAUAAUAUCUAUACUUUAAUUUAUAUAAAAUUAAUUAGGCUUAAGAACAGCCACAUUUUAGAUUAAGUUAAAUUACAUUAUUUAUAAAAUAAUUAUUUUUUAUCUAUUAGAUUUAUACUAAUAAAUUAAAAUUAAUUAAUAAUUUGAUUUAUUAUGAUUAAAUAAGUAAAUUAAUUUAAUAUUUAAUAUCAUGAACUAGGCAAAUAUAAUUUUCACCUGUUUAUCAAAAACAUGUCUUUUAGUUUAAAUUAAAAGUUUAAUCUGCCCAAUGAUUAUUGAAUGGCCGCAGUAAAUUAACUGUGCGAAGGUAGCAUAAUAAUUAGUCUUUUAAUUGAAGGCUUGAAUGAAUGAUUGGAUGAAAAAUGAUCUUUAUUAUUAUAAAUUUUUGAAAUUAAUAUUUAAGUUAAAAAGCUUAAAUAUAUAAGUGGGACGAGAAGACCCUAUAGAAUUUAAAAUUUAUUCAAUUUUAAUAUAAAAAGAAUGAAAUAAAUUAAAUUUGGGUAUAUUUUUAAUUGGGGUGAUUUUAAAAUAAUUUUAACUUUUAAUUAAAUUUACAUAGAUAUAUGUUUUGUUGAUCCAUUUUAAUGAUUUAAAGAAUAAAUUACCUUAGGGAUAACAGCGUUAUUAGUUUGAAGAGUUCAUAUUGAUAAAUCUAGUUUGCGACCUCGAUGUUGGAUUAAGAAAAAUAUUUGGAGCAAAAUCUAAUUAAAUUAGGUCUGUUCGACCUUUAAAUUCUUACAUGAUCUGAGUUCAAACCGGUGUAAGCCAGGUUGGUUUCUAUCUGCUAAUAUUUUAUUAAUAUUAGUACGAAAGGACCAUAUUAAUUAAUUAAUAUUAU